AUUGAACGCUGGCGGCAGGCUUAACACAUGCAAGUCGAGCGGGGUGAUGGUGCUUGCACUAUCACCUAGCGGCGGACGGGUGAGUAAUGCUUAGGAAUCUGCCUAUUAGUGGGGGACAACAUCUCGAAAGGGAUGCUAAUACCGCAUACGUCCUACGGGAGAAAGCAGGGGAUCACUUGUGACCUUGCGCUAAUAGAUGAGCCUAAGUCGGAUUAGCUAGUUGGUGGGGUAAAGGCCUACCAAGGCGACGAUCUGUAGCGGGUCUGAGAGGAUGAUCCGCCACACUGGGACUGAGACACGGCCCAGACUCCUACGGGAGGCAGCAGUGGGGAAUAUUGGACAAUGGGGGGAACCCUGAUCCAGCCAAGCCGCGUGUGUGAAGAAGGCCUUAUGGUUGUAAAGCACUUUAAGCGAGGAGGAGGCUCUUUUGGUUAAUACCCAAGAUGAGUGGACGUUACUCGCAGAAUAAGCACCGGCUAACUCUGUGCCAGCAGCCGCGGUAA
rnacentral:rRNA from 1 species